UGGCUCAGUUGGUAGAGCAUGGUGUUUGCAAUGCCAGGGUUGUGGGUUCGAUUCUCAC
rfam:Salmo salar isolate Sally breed double haploid chromosome ssa06, whole genome shotgun sequence.